rnacentral:rRNA from 1 species
GUGAGGAAUAUUGGACAAUGGGCGCAAGCCUGAUCCAGCCAUGCCGCGUGCAGGAAGACGCAUCUAUGGUGUGUAAACUGCUUUUGUACGGGAAGAAACACUCCCUCGUGAGGGAGCUUGACGGUACCGUAAGAAUAAGGAUCGGCUAACUCCGUGCCAGUAGCCGCGGUAAUACGGAGGAUCCAAGCGUUAUCCGGAAUCAUUGGGUUUAAAGGGUCCGUAGGCGGUUUAAUAAGUCAGUGGUGAAAGCCCAUCGCUCAACGAUGGAACGGCCAUUGAUACUGUUAGACUUGAAUUACAAGGAAGUAACUAGAAUAUGUAGUGUAGCGGUGAAAUGCUUAGAUAUUACAUGGAAUACCAAUUGCGAAGGCAGGUUACUACUUGUGGAUUGACGCUGAUGGACGAAAGCGUGGGGAGCGAACAGGAUUAGAAACCCCGGUAGUCC